UACGUAUGGUGCAAGCGUUAUCCGGAUUUACUGGGCGUAAAGGGAGCGCAGGCGGCGCGCCAAGUCUGAUGUGAAACCCCGGGGCUCAACUCCGGGCAUGCAUUGGAAACUGGCGGGCUGGAGUGCCGGAGAGGUAAGCGGAAUUCCUAGUGUAGCGGUGAAAUGCGUAGAUAUUAGGAGGAACACCAGUGGCGAAGGCGGCUUACUGGACGGCAACUGACGCUGAGGCUCGAAAGCGUGGGGAGCAAACAGG
rnacentral:rRNA from 1 species